CAGAUGGUAACUUAUUUAAAGUAUUUUAUUUACAUUAAAAAAAAAAUUAAUUAUUUCAUUUGA
rnacentral:tRNA from 1 species